CCCAGGCACAGCAGCGCCACGCGCACGUAGCGCCGCAUCCUGCCCCGGCGGCCGGGGCCCAGCCGGCAGCGCGAGCCCGGCCCCAACGGACACAGCGGCAGCGCGAGCCCCGUGUUGGGGUCACCGCAGCGCUGAGUUUGUCAGAUAAGUGUUACAAAAGGUGGCUCGCUCAGACAGACUUGUAUUUGACAGAAGGCAAAAAAGAGGAAGAGAGGACAGAAGAAAAGCCCUUGUAAGCUGAGCACCUGUCAUCUCUGCCUGACAGCAUGGAUGGAUCCUGAACUGCUGACCAGUCUAGUGAUGAGCAUUAUGAACACAAUACAGGUCCACUUAGGAGUCUCCCACAACUAGAAAAUGGAUCUGGCCAGAUUUGGAUGAAAGGACCACCCUGAGGAACAUAGCCACUCUGUUGUCCACUAGCACCAGAAAACUCUUCCUCUCAAUAUAUGGAAGAAAGGCCAAGCAAGAUAACCAAAUAGCUCGCAAUUCUCUGACAUUUAUGAGUAUUUUCAGAUCUUGCAUAGACCAAAGACUUUGUGUCUGCUGAAACCCCAGGUGUCAGGACCUAUUUCUCCAUGUUGAUUAAUUGCCCUAGCACAUUGAAAGUGGACUGGAUAAGGUGCUGGACAGCACCUGAGAUCUGGACCGGCAUCUCACCAACUAGUCAGCUAGGAGAACUUCCUCUAUGGCCCCCAUGUGAAGGAGAGAUUGCACCUCCUGCAGUAGAAUGACCUCAUGAGAGUAGUUCCUGAAGAGGGAUGGGAAAAUAGGCUCAUUGCACACUGAGGGAAUGAAGUCUCCUCUCUUCUUCAGAGAUAGAAGAGUAAAUGAAGAUGAAGUUCUGGACACUGGAGGCUCCAACAAAGGCCACACAGUGAUGAAAAGGAACUGGAAACGCAAUUGGUCUGCUCCACCCUUUAUCUCCUUGGUUGGAUGCAUAAUUGGAUGCAUGAGAAGAGCAAUGGUGCUUGCAUGGACCAAUGGACAUUGCUUUCAAGAAUUCUCUGACUCCGGAAAUAUGAAGCACAGUGAAAGACACACAGGGAGUAGCGCUUGAAGGCAAACCUAUAAUUUCACAUCUUCCUACAGAUUUUAUAACAUAUGCCCUCCUGCUGAAACUGCUCUAAAUUGUAUUCUGUAAUUAGUGCAAAGCAGCCUUCUAUUCUGACCCUGUUUUUCUUUUCCUUUCAAUACCUUUGAGAUUUUAUAAUAAAUAUUGUAUGCUCAUGAAAAACAUUCACAUGCAUAUUUUGUUUAUGGAGAUAUGUUUAUUGUUGCCUUCAAUGUUUGUUGGAAAUAUGGAUAUUACUACAAAAAGUGUCUCUGAGAAACCCCAUUAAAAAUUAGCCUUAAGCAUGAAGGAAAAAUAUACAUUCAGCGGUGCCAAUCCUGAGUGAAGAUUUUUUCCACACAUAGGAAGCAAAACCAAUAAAAUUGGAGGACCUCUUAUUGCUUUUCAUACAUUUCUUCCUGCCUGGCAACUGGUGAAAUUUAGGUGAGAAGAAUAUAAUUACCUAAUUAAAAUGCAAGCAUGACUUCAAGGUUCACAGUCCUAUUCUUUCAAAUAAAUAUCUCAGGUUCAUUAGUGACUAGAAGUUUCAGGGCCUCAGUUUUAGUGUUCAUCAAUAGAAAGGACCCUUUGCCAUCCUGGUGGAGCAUCAUUGAAUCAGAGCAGGGUAUUGACCAUUGAAUAAUCAAUGUUAGUUCCAUUCCUGAAAAACAUAAGC